GUUGUAGUCAGUCACAGGGAGGUUCUAGUGUUCUAGUCAGUCACAGGGAGGUUGUAGUGUUCCAGUCAGUCACAGGGAGGUUGUAGUGUUGUAGUCAGUCACAGGGAGGUUGUAGUGUUGUAGUCAGUCACAGGGAGGUUGUAGUGUUGUAGUCAGUCACAGGGAGGUUGUAGUGUUGUAGUCAGUCACAGGGAGGUUGUAGUGUUGUAGUCAGUCACAGGGAGGUUAAUGUGUUCUAGUCAGUCAUGGAUGACAACAAAGAACAGGUGCUUCAUUAUAAGAUUACUGGUUUUGGUUCUGCUGGUAUGUAGCUUGUUUUUGGUUGCACAUUCAGGAAUUGCUGAAGACUUGUAACAUUUACCUUGAUGCUAACUCUGCAAAUAGCACUGAUUUGAAAAGUCAUAGUCAAAUCGACCAAUAAUUGAAUAAUACUGUUAGCAAACAAAAAUCAUCAUUAAUUUCCCAUCUGUAGAAACUACGAGAAUGAAACGGUUCAGAACGUUGGUGAAACAUCAGGCGAGGGUUGAAAAAAACAUUUGGCAAUUAGAAAUAAAAAAAACUGGAUGGUUUUCAGAGAUAGAUAUUAAGGGUUGAGGGGAGCUGAAGGAUGGGACCAACAAAAAAAACAAAAAACAAAAAAAAAGAUAUCUAAUGUCAAAUAUACUGUGUCCGUAAAGAAAUAUAUAGUAUGUAUAAGCAGGAAGUAGAAGUGUUGUUGUCCAUUAGUUUAGUCCAAUUAGGAGAGGGGUGGGAGGGUUAAAGGAAGAUUAUAAAGCAGGAAGUAGAAG
ensembl:lncRNA